UCUCAAUCACAACAAGCACAUCCUGCAAGAACUACUCAGAACUGUUGAAGAGUAAGGUCUUUUUUUAGCUGCCUUGAUGUCAACCUCAUUUUUGGAAACUCAAGAAAUGCUCUCCUUGAUGUGUGGUUCUGUUUCUGAUGGUUUUUAUCCAGUCAAGGUAUGCAUUCCAGUGUGGAGGGAACACGAUGGGCUCCACACAUCCCCAGAGCAGCCCAGAGUGUCUUCAACACAGCCUGCUAAAAGGGGAGUGCGGUGGACAGCGGUCAAUACUCUGUCACACAUGUCCACAAGGAGCACUUUGCUUCUUUAUCCACUGCUGAAAUACAAGAGAGCAAAGAAGGUUGG